UUUGAAAACUCCUCGACUAUC
rnacentral:piRNA from 1 species